AUCUAGCCCCGAUUGAAACGGCAUCCUUUUUCUUCCGCUUCGGCGGAUAGAAAAAGAUAUAGUGGAAAGCGGGACAAGUG
rnacentral:sRNA from 3 species